rnacentral:piRNA from 1 species
GGGAGCUGGCGGCGCGAGAACUAACU